CUUCCAAGCAGAGGGAGAAAGAGGUCUCUGAAACAAGAAGAGGAAAGAUUCCUCCUCAUCCAAAAUCCAGAUAACACAGAAGCAAACUAAAAUUUGGAGUUCAGUCCAAGAGAUUCACCAGGGAGAAAUGAGGCAACCUGCAGAAAAAGUGACCCCACUGUGUGAGUCAGUGAGCCCCAGUGUGAGUACAUCAUGCCCUAGCUCUGUGGGCCAGUGAUUCUCCCCAAGCUGAGUCAGCUUUGGAACCCAGCUUGACACCAAGUAGGUCAAAAUCAAAAUAAAAUAUUGGGACAGAUCUCUACACUUAAAAUAUUUUAUUAGAGAGGUGAGAAUUGUAAUUUGGCAUAAAUGCGAGGACCAGGGGGUCUUUGGUUUGUCUAAAGCACAAAACGAAGGUUGGAGAUGUUAUUAAAAAAAAACAACAACAAAGUUACGUAUUGUUUUGAAAGAAAGUUUAUUGGCCCUAGUAAAGUUUUGAGGAGCUGGCAAGUUCUGAUUGGUGUGUGACAGUGGUGGGUAAAACCAGUUUUGCAGUCACAGUAGGUUGUUUUAAUAGCUGUUAGAUAAAACUGGUUUUAGGUUACAACAGGUAGUUUUAGCAACUAGGUUUGUAGAGAAUUAUAUUUUGAAGCAAUGCUGUGUGCCCUGAGUGCCUUUUUCCCCUGGCCUGUCUACCCUGUUUUAGUUGCAUAUGACAAGAAUGACCCCAUUUGUUUGAUCAACUUGUACAGAUCAAAGAAAGUUUAAUUUUCUUUUGGGUAAAGCCAGUUAGCAAACACAUACGGUGUGUGAUCUCCUCCUCACCUUCACUCUUAAAGCCCCACCCCCCUUUGUUUUGACAGAUUUCAGUUCAGACUGAGUCCUAGUCUCUUUUCCCUAUUGUAAUAGUCUUGAAUAAAAUAGCCAUUGUCCAUAUAACAUUGUUCAGUGCCAUUCUUGCUCUGUCAGGAGGUACUUCAUCUUUCCAUUUAUGUCUUUGUGGACUCCCAGUUUCACAUUUUGUUCAAUAGGCCAUAAUCUCCUAUUCUGGUACUCAAAUUGUUCCAUAUUGGGUCAUGAAAGUCCUGUCUAAGUGCUAUGUCUGUCCUUGAUCCCCACAAUUGUUUUCUGGUUUACAGUUAAAAAAAGAAAGAAAGAAAGAAAGAAAGAAAG
rnacentral:lncRNA from 1 species